rnacentral:rRNA from 1 species
GAUCGAUGGCUCAGGAUGAACGCUGCGGCAGGCUAAUACAUGCAAGUCGAACGGUAACAGAGCUAGCAAUAGCUGCUGACGAGUGGCGGAUGGGUGCGUAACGCGUAUGCAACCUACCUGUAAUUGGAACAUAACGUUGAGAAAUUAGCGCUAAUAUUCCAUGUGGAUAUGAGACGGCAUCGUUUUAUAUUUAAAGAUUUAUUGAUUACAGAUGGGCAUGCGUAUCAUUAGCUAGUUGGUAAGGUAACGGCUCACCAAGGCAACGAUGAUUAGGGGUUCUGAGAGGAUAUCCCCCCACACUGGAACUGAGACACGGUCCAGACUCCUACGGGAGGCAGCAGUAGGGAAUAUUGGGCAAUGGAGGCAACUCUGACCCAGCCAAUGCCGCGUGAAGGAAUACAGCCCUACGGGUUUUAAACUUCUUUUAUUAUAGAGUAACCGGAGGUACGUGUACCUCCCUGCAAGUAUAUAAUGAAUAAGGAUCGGCUAACUCCGUGCCAGCAGCCGC